ensembl:lncRNA novel transcript
GGGGUGAGCAAGCAGAGGUGAGCCAGCAGGGGUAACCUGCUCGCAUCCCCUUCCACGCUGUGGAAGCUUUGUUCUUCUGCUUUUUGCUAUAAAUCUUGCUGCAGCUCACUCUCUGGGUGGGGCUGCCUUUAUGAGCUGUGAGUUGUAACACUCACCGCAGAGGUCUGCAGCUUCACUCCUGAGGCCAGUGAGACCAUGAACCCACCGGAGGGAAUGAGCAACUCCAGACACACUGCCUUUAAGAACUGUAACACUCGGUUUGAGAGUCCGUGGCUUCAUUCUUGAAGUCAGCAAGACCAAGAACCCACAAAUUCCAGACACAUAAUGACCAUAGCAACUUAAUCAGAACUCAUCAGUUCCACAGAUUCCAUAAAAGUUAACUCCAGAGCAGAGAAUGAUGCCACAGUCGGGAUAACAUCCAAUAUUUGCAAUCAGAAGAAAUAUGAGAGUCUUGCUCCAUCACCCAGGCUGCAGUGCAGUGGCACGAUCUUGGCUCACUGCAAGCUCCACCUCCCGGGUUCACGCCAUUCUCCUGCCUCAGCCUCCCAAGUAGCUGGGACUACAGGCGCCCACCACCACGCCCAGCUAAAUUUUUUUGUAUUUUUAGUAGAGAUGGGGUUUCACUGUGUUAGCCAGGAUGGUCUCGAUUUCCUGACCUCGUGAUCUGCCUGCCUCGGCCUCCCAAAGUGCUGGGAUUACAGGCGUGAGCCACUGUGCCCGGCCGUAAUUAUUCUUUUCGUGUUAAGCAAUGGUAAAAGAACUGACUGAAAAUAAGAAUAUUAAAAAGUUUCUCUGCUAAAAACAGAAAA